rnacentral:rRNA from 1 species
UCAAGUGAAUAAGUGCAUCAGGUGGAUGCCUUGGCGAUGAUAGGCGACGAAGGACGUGUAAGCCUGCGAAAAGCGUGGGGGAGCUGGCAAUAAAGCUAUGAUUCCGCGAUGUCCGAAUGGGGAAACCCACUGCAUUCUGUGCAGUAUCCUAAGUUGAAUACAUAGACUUAGAGAAGCGAACCUGGAGAACUGAACCAUCUAAGUACCCGGAGGAAAAGAAAUCAACCGAGAUUCCGCAAGUAGUGGCGAGCGAACGCGGAGGAGCCUGUACGUAAUAGCUGUUGAGAUAGAAGAACAAGCUGGGAAGCUUGACCAUAGUGGGUGAUAGUCCCGUAUUCGAAAUCUCAAUAGUGGUACUAAGCGUACGAAAAGUAGGGCGGGACACGUGAAAUCCUGUCUGAAUAUGGGGGGACCAUCCUCCAAGGCUAAAUACUCAUCAUCGACCGAUAGUGAACCAGUACCGUGAGGGAAAGGCGAAAAGAACCCCGGGAGGGGAGUGAAAUAGAACCUGAAACCUGAUGCAUACAAACAGUGGGAGCACCCUUGCGGUGUGACUGCGUACCUUUUGUAUAAUGGGUCAACGACUUACAUUCAGUAGCGAGCUUAACCGGAUAGGGGAGGCGUAGGGAAACCGAGUCUUAAUAGGGCGAUGAGUUGCUGGGUGUAGACCCGAAACCGAGUGAUCUAUCCAUGGCCAGGUUGAAGGUGCCGUAACAGGUACUGGAGGACCGAACCCACGCAUGUUGCAAAAUGCGGGGAUGAGCUGUGGAUAGGGGUGAAAGGCUAAACAAACUCGGAGAUAGCUGGUUCUCCCCGAAAACUAUUUAGGUAGUGCCUCGAGCAAGACACUGAUGGGGGUAAAGCACUGUUAUGGCUAGGGGGUUAUUGCAACUUACCAACCCAUGGCAAACUCAGAAUACCAUCAAGUGGUUCCUCGGGAGACAGACAGCGGGUGCUAACGUCCGUUGUCAAGAGGGAAACAACCCAGACCGCCAGCUAAGGUCCCAAAUGAUAGAUUAAGUGGUAAACGAAGUGGGAAGGCCCAGACAGCCAGGAUGUUGGCUUAGAAGCAGCCAUCAUUUAAAGAAAGCGUAAUAGCUCACUGGUCGAGUCGUCCUGCGCGGAAGAUGUAACGGGGCUCAAAUCUAUAACCGAAGCUGCGGAUGCUAGUUUACUAGUAUGGUAGGGGAGCGUUCUGUAGGCCGAUGAAGGUGCAUUGUAAAGUGUGCUGGAGGUAUCAGAAGUGCGAAUGUUGACAUGAGUAGCGAUAAAGCGGGUGAAAAGCCCGCUCGCCGAAAGCCCAAGGUUUCCUACGCAACGUUCAUCGGCGUAGGGUGAGUCGGCCCCUAAGGCGAGGCAGAAAUGCGUAGUCGAUGGGAAACAGGUUAAUAUUCCUGUACUUGAUUUAAAUGCGAUGUGGGGACGGAGAAGGUUAGGUUAGCAAGCUGUUGGAAUAGCUUGUUUAAGCCGGUAGGUGGAAGACUUAGGCAAAUCCGGGUCUUCUUAACACCGAGAAGUGACGACGAGUGUCUACGGACAUGAAGUAACCGAUACCACGCUUCCAGGAAAAGCCACUAAGCUUCAGUUUGAAUUAAACCGUACCGCAAACCGACACAGGUGGGCAGGAUGAGAAUUCUAAGGCGCUUGAGAGAACUCGGGAGAAGGAACUCGGCAAAUUGAUACCGUAACUUCGGGAGAAGGUAUGCCCUCUAAGGUUAAGGACUUGCUCCGUAAGCCUUGGAGGGUCGCAGAGAAUAGGUGGCUGCGACUGUUUAUUAAAAACACAGCACUCUGCUAACACGAAAGUGGACGUAUAGGGUGUGACGCCUGCCCGGUGCUGGAAGGUUAAUUGAAGAUGUGAGAGCAUCGGAUCGAAGCCCCAGUAAACGGCGGCCGUAACUAUAACGGUCCUAAGGUAGCGAAAUUCCUUGUCGGGUAAGUUCCGACCCGCACGAAUGGCGUAACGAUGGCCACACUGUCUCCUCCUGAGACUCAGCGAAGUUGAAGUGGUUGUGAAGAUGCAAUCUACCCGCUGCUAGACGGAAAGACCCCGUGAACCUUUACUGUAGCUUUGCAUUGGACU